rnacentral:rRNA from 1 species
UACGUAGGGGGCAAGCGUUAUCCGGAUUCACUGGGCGUAAAGGGAGCGCAGGCGGCAUGGUAAGUCUGAUGUGAAAGCCCGCGGCCCAACCGCGGGACUGCAUUGGGAACUACCGGGCUGGAGUGCCGGAGAGGUAGGCGGAAUUCCUAGUGUAGCGGUGAAAUGCGUAGAUAUAUGGAGGAACACCGGUGGCGAAAGCGGCUCUCUGGCCUGUAACUGACACUGAGGCUCGAAAGCGUGGGGAGCAAACAGG